rnacentral:rRNA from 1 species
UACGUAGGGGGCGAGCGUUGUCCGGAUUUAUUGGGCGUAAAGAGCUCGUAGGCGGUUCGAUAAGUCGGACGUGAAAUCUCCACGCUCAACGUGGAGGGGCCGUUCGAUACUGUCGUGACUCGAGUCCGGUAGGGGAGUGUGGAAUUCCCGGUGUAGCGGUGAAAUGCGCAGAGAUCGGGAGGAACACCCGUAGCGAAGGCGGCACUCUGGGCCGAUACUGACGCUGAGGAGCGAAAGCGUGGGGAGCGAACAGG